rnacentral:lncRNA from 1 species
AUCUGAAGAGUUUUUGGGGACGACUGGAAAGACUUUAGACGCUUGGAUUUGGGACAGGAAAUAAGGUCGUCCUUUUUUAUCUUUCUUUCAAUAUUUUGACGUCAGUUUUUUCUAAAGUCUCAGACCUUCAACAUCUGCACCAACUGAAGGUGAUUUGAACAAACGAUCAUCUUGAUGUUGUUGAUAUCAAAAUUCAUGAAGAUUUUUCAAAAUGAGAAAUACAAUCAGUUAUCCACAAUCACUGUCCUUAAAGCUGCGACCAAAUCAGCAUCUUUAGAAAAGUGUAGCGAUUUGAAUUUAUAAUAAAUGUCUGAGGAUUAAUAAUCUCAAGUUAUGACAUUUAUGCACUCGUUGAAAGAGGCACCACCCACCCUUAAUGGUGGAAAAAUAAAGAAAACUAAAGUUUAAUUCAGAAAUCAAACAUCAAGUCAAAUCUUAAAUUAAUCAAUCUCAUACCUUGAGCUGAGAUUCUCAUUUCAGGGACUCCACUUCUGGAAGAACACUAAAAGACCAGAACUUAGAAAUAAUGAUGUUUAAUACAGGAUAAAUGAUGGUACAACACACAUGCAAUAAAUGAUAAGAUAAUGAGGAUAAAAAAUAAUAGGUGAACAAAUAAAGAUUCUAAGUCAGGCUAGGAGCACUAAAGUUAAUGAUAGUGAGUGAAUAUGCUCGAACAUAUUAACCUACACUAUCUUUGGUGUCAAGGUAAAUUUGGAUGUGGAUUUGGAGGAAUCCAAGAUUACCAGAAUAAGUGGAUAUCUGAGUUAUGACCGCAUGAGACAGCAUCAGCCCUCUUUGGAGCUCUGGAGGUCUGCAUACUUAAGUAAGACUGGUCCUUGGAGAAGAUGGAGCAGGUUCCGAAGGUCCGGGCUACCGGCCGAAGUCAGCCGAAGGAUGGGCCAGGAGUCGUAGCACUCGGGCCUGAAGUAAAGCCGGCGCCUGUGGAUCCUGUGGAUGCUCGUUUGGAUGCUUCUUUGGUCUCACUCAAAAACUCUGGCGCAGAGGAUGACCCGGGCCUGCUGGGUUGUGUUCAGAGGUGACUUUGAAAUCUCGCAGAUAACUCAGAAAAACGAGGCUCGAUGACCAGAGAAAACUUUCAAAAAUGGCUUCGCGAAAUUAAAGAAAAAUCAAUCAAAGGCUUAAUCUUGAAUUGCUAUGCGCACAAAAAGUUGAAGUUUCAAAACUUGAACGAAGACGAUGUUAAAGAAAAUCAACGUGAAUCAACGCAAAACUUAGAAGACUAAGAAAAAGUAAGACUAAGUAGUAAAAGCUAAACGAAAACUUAAGAGUAGAAAAGCAAAAAUAGAAGAGAGGCAACAAGAGUACAAAGGGAACAAGCAACGUGAGCACCCCCCCCCUUUCUGGUUUUAUCUUCUCACACUGGGAGUGUCUCUGGCGUGUGUGUGUGAAGAGAAAGAGGAGGGGUCGUGGGGUCUCCAAGCAGAGGAGACCUCAGAUCUCUGAUUAUUUGAUCUAACAUAUACUUUUGGCUGGUAAAAGAGUCAGAUCUGAUACUCACUCACUAUGAUUAAUAUCAUUGAAUGCUUGGUUUCAUGAUAAAUAAUUUGAUACUAAACACAUAUAAAGAAAUGUAGGAUCACAUCAAACAUUCUCAUUAUGUUUCAAGUAUCACAUUAAACAUGCUAAAUUACUCUGAAAUGAAACAGAGAGUAACACAUGGAAACUGUGAACAACAAAAGAGUAAAUACAUGUGAAUGAACUUCAUCGUGAUUACUAAUGGAUUCUAAAUACUCACAUUCAGAUUAUUCAAUGACAUUAUAACCACCUAAUGGUUAAAAAUACUAAAUAAACAACUAAAAUAUAAACCAAACAUUUCUAAACUAUUUCUGUUACUUAGAGGAAACUUAUGAUCCAUAGUCAAUAAAUGUAACUCUUAAAAGUUGAGGAAACAGUCUGAAAAGCUGUUGGUCUAAAGAAACUAAAGAACAAAGGAAUUAUUCUGUCAGAGUGAUAACUCAGCUUCUGGAGCACAUAGAACAAUGAGAAACAUCUCAUUUUAACACAAAUUUCAUGAUUGGACAGAUUAGUACAUUGCUGAAUACAUAAGAUGUCAUGAUCAGUCAUUUGUAUUCUUUCAUCAAAGGAAUGCAGUUUUUUAUCAGAACAUGGUUGAGCAGGGUUUUACGACCGAGGGACCAGAUAAGGAAACUUUCCUGUGAGGAAUGUGUGAGUUUCACACCCAGGGUUGUCUUGAUUGCUACAAAAGAAUGAAAAAGCUGAAAUGAAGAACUAAACCGAAAGUUUCUGGUGAGACUGAUCCACAAACAUUUACAAACCAGAACAUUUCAAGUGUUCAAUGAUCUCAUUACAUGUUUUUGGUCUGAUGGACUCAAAAUUCUCUUUAUUUGGGUUCAAUAAACUUAGCAGAGGCUCCAACAGACCGGUGCUUAAAAGACAGGAAAAACAGUCCAGCAUAUAGCGGCUCAGUGAAUGUGGUCUGGACUCUGUGGAGGAGAGUCAUGGUUUCAGAGACGCUGUAGAAGGACAGAAUACCUGCUCUGUGAUCCAGGUACACUCCUACUCUGGAGGACAGAGGACCUGAGACAUCAGUGAGGACUUCGUUGUGAACAAAUUGAUAAAUGUCUUUAGAGCAGUCUAACGUCCAAGAUUUGUCAUUUCCUCCAAAUAAACAAUCAUCUGAGUCCCCGUCUCUGCUGAUCGUCUUGUAUGCGACUGCUACACUUACCCUGUUCCCUCUCCAGUCCACCUCCCAGUAACAACGUCCAGUCAGACUCUCUCUACUCAGGACCUGAUCAUAAUAAGUGAAUCUGUCUGGAUGAUCAGGAUAAGACUGUCGUUGUCUUGUUAAUGUUGCUUUUCUGUUUCCUUUAGAUAAUAUCAGAUAUCUGUUUGCUGUGUUUGGAUCCAGUGUGAUUCUUCGUGAAUAUCUUAGGAAAUCAGCUCUGGUCUUGGGUUCUGGUUCUAACAGUAAAACAUCCACUUCAGUCACUGCCUGUGAGACGUUUGUCCACAUCUUUGUCAGAAGAUCCUGGAGUUUAUCACUAACCUCUGACACAGCUGCUGUCACCUCCUCAAAGUAUCUCUGAGGACGGAUGUUGAUCCUGGAUGAGUCUGCAGGUUGACCCGGUUCUGACAGUGAGGGGUAGCUGUGCAGAAACUGGUUGUGGUCCUCUGUGAGUGAGAGUGUCUGCAGAUCAGCAUCUUUCCUCUUCAGCUCAGUGAUCUCCUGUUCCAUCUUCUCCUGAAGUUCUUUGACUCGACUCACUUCACGUUCCUGCUGGGAUCUGACCUGCUUCGCCAUGUCAGAGUGGCGUUUCACUAUGAGACGGAUAAGCUGGGUGAAGAUCUUCUGGCUGUGCUCCACAGCUUUAUCAGCAGAGCCGUUGAUAGUCUCCACCUCCUGUUGGAGAAGCUUCACAUCUUCUUCUCUGUCCUUGAUUCUCUGCUGGAUGUUUUCUCGACUCUCCUCCAGAUCUUUCUGCCUCUCAGUCCUUUCUGCUGCAGCUAAGACUGUGUCGUGGUCUUUGUGUUGGUCCAAACGGCAGAUAGAACAGAUAGACUUCCGGUCAGUGCGGCAGAAGAUCUUCAUCACCUCAUCAUGAUCAGAGCAGAUGUUCUCCUGGAGCUUCUUGGAGGGCUCCACCAGCUUGUGUUUCUUAAAUGGAGGUGAUUCAAAAUGAGGCUGGAGGUGAAUCUGACAGUAAGAAACCAGACAUCGCAGACAGGACUUGACAGCUUUCCGUUUUCUCCCACUGCAGGAAUCACAGGCCACAUCUUCAGGUCCAGCCUCAGAGGAACCAUCAGGAGCAGCUUGGAGUCCACUCCUCUUCACUUCCUCCACUAAACCUGCUAACAUGGUGUUUUUCAUCAGGACAGGCCUGAUGAAAAAGGUCUCUCUGCACUGAGGACAGCUGUAGACCAUCCUCUCAUCCUCAGUAUCCCAGUAGGAGUGAAUACAGCUCAUGCAGAAGCUGUGUCCACAGGAAACAGUCACCGGAUCCUUCAGAAGAUCCAAACAGAUGGAACAAGAGAAAGACUCACGGUCCAGAUGAACUCCUUCCUGCGCCAUUUCAACACUCGCUGUCGACGACUGACUGAGUUUUAUUUCCUGUAAAAAGUGAAACUAUUUAAAGCUCUGGUCUCAACGACGUGUGUAUCAGCAGGAUAUCAGCUCAGCACACCCUGGUUACACCCGUCCUCAAAGUGUAGAUCUGAAGGGGAGAGAAAGAGAAGAGAACAAGAAAGUGAGAGUGCAGAGUGGCGUGAGCUGUGUGAGAGACGAGGGAGGGGAAGAGGAGCGGCGAUGUGAAGUUGAGAGUCCUACAUUAACUUGAACUGGACUUUACAGAACAAACAAACUGGGUUCACCUUUGGGAAAGAAAGUAGUCAACAGCUGCCUCCCCUCAUUCUGCCCUCUUUCUUUUUCUUUCCUCUCUCUCUUCUUCUGAUACUAAGAAAAUCACCAGUCAAGACUUUCAUUUCUCUGAGCUGCACCAUUUAAAGUCCAGUCAGCAAACUGAGAAGUCCCCAUGAACAAAUGAGUCCGAAAAACAAACAGUAAAAAACUGAGACUUAGUUUAAAUGGAGAAAUCCCUCUGGCUAACUUCAGCGACAUGAACCCCAGAAGUUUACGUUUCAGUAGGUCUCAGUUUCACAGUAAAAAGUUGAUGACUCGUUAUGACUUAUUCCUUGAUUUAUGCUUUUUGGGCAGCAUGAUGUCUAACCUCCAGGUCAUUCAGUCUGGGCUAACUGACCUUACACUAAACUAUCAAGAAAAACCGGCGAGGUUCUUUCAGUGACUCAGUUUGAUGAUUUUUAUUGUUUUCACCCACAAUCAGAGACAGAAGCAGCAAUUCUCAUAUAUUUUUUUCAAAGUUCUGAUACUCAUGACAGUGUAACGCUCAUGUACCAAAAGAUUAAGUAUCUCCAUGUUUGUGAAACCUAUACUGAAGUACAAUUCAUCUAAAUGCUCCUCAGUGCUGAUUUUAACAACUCUCCUCCACAACAGGUAACUUUACGACUUAAUUCUUAUAAAUUAAUGACUUUAUUCUUCUCAAUAACUUUAUUCACGAAGAUUUAAAAACGUUUUUUUUUCUUAAUGUGUUCCUCAUACUCCGUUGUUUUUAAGAGAUUAUUGUAGUAAUAAUUAUCUUCAAUCACUCUUCAACCCCCCCCCCCAAAGGAAAUCUCACUCUUAGCUUAGUUCAAAACUUGAGAGCCCUGUAUUCAUGAACUUCUAACUUUAAAGUAGCUAUUUUUACUCUGUACGAUACUUUUUACUUUAGAUAAAAAAAUGAUUUUUUUUAAAAUAUGAAUCAGUCAAAUGUCUUCAAAUGAAUUAAAGUAAUGAACUGCAAUAAACACAGUGAACCUUACUGGUUAAACACAGUGUCAUAGUACCAACAGUAGCAGCUUACUUUACAAGUUAAAUGCUAACAACAGCCAGCUAAGCGCUAGCUAACGCCUGGUUCACACUGGAAGCGCCGCGCGCGGAACGGAAGCGCCGCGCACAGAGUUUCAGAUCGGCGCCCAUGUUAACCUAUGAGACUGUUCACACAGCUUGCGCGCGGAACGGCUCGCGCUCUGGAGCGCGGCUGCUCCGCUUCUCUCUAUUUUUGGCGCGAGCCGCGCGCGCCGAUGUAAAGCUCAACAGAGCAGAUCGGACCAGACAGGAAGUCAGGAAGGAGAUGCGAGAGAAUCCGGUUAAUUUUCAAAAUAAAGUAAAUUUCAAUAAAUUAGAAAAGGAUUUACGGUGUUGCUUGUCGGUCUAUUUUUUUUUACCGAUGAACACACACACCCCUAUAUAAUAAUUUUAAACAAUACUUGAAGAUGCUGCCAAUAUUUAAUUUAUGUAUGACGAAAUAAAAACAUAAAUAAAUAUUGAUAAACCCAUUUUUAAAGCGCUCGUAAGUGUGGAAAACUGGGGGCAGACGGAAACGGCCGAGCACUGCCGGGCUCAGUCGAUGUCUGACCGGCGUGUCAGAGCGCAGCAGAAAGCGCUUCCUGUGUGAAGAGCCAAGCGCGAGCCGGCGCUGCGCGCGGCGCUUCCUGUGUGAACCAGGCGUAAGAAUGCUUAUAAAGUCAGCCUUUCAUGCUAAUCGGGAGCUAGCGAAAAUGCUAACGGAAGCUAGCGGCGCUAAUCAAAUGCUAACCACGGCCGUUUAAUUACACUCUCUAUUUCAACAUUCUCUUAUUACUCUCCCAGGACAAUGAAAUUAGCACCAACACGUUAUAUAUUCAGAGGCUACACAUUGUUAGCAGGUUAUUUCUUACCAAUGGACUGUUCGCUUCUGCCAAACUCGGACACAGCUGCCGUGAUGAGUAGUGAUGCGCGUCCUUCAGUGUCGAGGAAUGAAUGGGGUGUUUCCGCGAAGAGCGCAUUAAGUCUUGCUUCAUGUAGGGGUGGAGCCAAAAAUGAUGACGUCCGAAGCCUCGCUGCCCGGCUGUACCACGUGACUGAUUCACGGGUUUGGCGGAUGAUUUAACAGGCAGCGAAACGCAAUGGAGUCCUCCCCCGCUCACAAUGCAUGGACUCGAGACUUGUUGAAAAGUUGUUUUUAAAUAUAAAUAAAUAUAAGUGAAAUGUUUAUGUUUUACAUGUUGUCCCCGAAAAGAAGUACGAAUAACAAACUAAGUAACACAAGCACAUUCACAUCACAACCCUCUCCAUAAUUUAUGUCCUCUUCUCCUUUUUGACGCUGCAACUGUGUCUUAAAGACAAACACCAUUUUAAUAACUUCACCAUUUCUGUAUGUUUUCACAAACACACGGCCUCACAUCCAUUCAUUCAUUCAAUUCAAAGCUUCGCGCACCAAAGCCUUAACACUGGUAAGUAACACCGGAAGUCCGCGGACUUUUCAAAAUAAAAUGCAGCGCUACAAAACUCUUAAAUAAACUACUCAGGGCUACAGAUAAUCAUUAAAUAAUAUAAGUCUUGACAUAUACACCUUAUAUCUCUGUCAUGAUUUUCCUCUUACUUACAGAAAACCUGAUCCAGCUGCAGGACCAACAUCUGGGACCUGUAACACCUGUAAGUGACCACAUCAUGGAAAUCCUGCAGACCACAUGAAUCCAUGACCCAGACAGACCUGUAACAUGACAUCCAGCAGAAACAGACACAAUAAAGAAAAACAGACGAGGUGAUUUCAGUGACUCAGUUUGAUGAUUUUUAUUGUUUUCACCCACAAUCAGAGACUUGACCACAAUCUGAGCUGAAUCAGAAACAUAAAAACAGUCGGACUAAUGAAUGUGAUUAAUAUAAAAGUGAUUAAAAAGCUCAUAACAACAUGUUGAUCUUACAAAAGUCUCAUUAUUGAUGUCUUUACAAACACACUGAUCCAACAGAAGCAGACAGAAAUAUCCAUCGAUCACAUGAACACAAAUAUUCAGCAAACAGAGAAAGAAACAGAUCAUCUGAAGAGCUUUUGGAGCAGACUGGAAAGACUUUAGACGCUUGGAUUUGGGACAGGAAAUAAGGUUGUCCUUUUUCAUCUUUCUUUCCUCAUUUUGACGUCACUUUUUUCUAAAGUCUCAGACCUUCAACAUCUGCACCAACUGAAGGUGAUUUAAACAAAGAAUCAUCUUGAUGUUGUUGAUAUCAAAAUGAGAAAAUGAGAAAUACAAACAAUCAAAGUUCUC